rnacentral:rRNA from 1 species
UACGGAGGGUGCAAGCGUUGUUCGGAAUUACUGGGCGUAAAGGGGGUGUAGGCGGCCAAGUAAGUCAGAUGUGAAAUCCCUCGGCUUAACCGAGGAAGUGCAUCUGAAACUGCUUGGCUUGAGUAUGGGAGAGGAAGGCGGAAUUCUCGGUGUAGCGGUGACAUGCGUAGAUAUCGGGAGGAACACCUGUGGCGAAGGCGGCCUUCUGGCCCAAUACUGACGCUGAGACCCGAAAGCGUGGGGAGCAAACAGG